UGGGUUGUGGCUCAGUGAUAGAGCACUUGUCCAUCAUGCAUGAAGCACUGGGUUCGAUCCCCAGCACUACAU
rfam:Ictidomys tridecemlineatus contig094431, whole genome shotgun sequence.